rnacentral:ncRNA from 1 species
AAGUCGUAACAAGGUUUCCGUAGAACAAGUCUUGCAGGAAUGAUUCCUUCCGCAGUGUACACUUGUAGAAGCCUUUGCAGCCACGCAAGUGGUAGAACUAGGCGACUUUAAAUAAUUCUAGGAUCGCUAUGCAAGUCGGCCCACGCGUGUGGUGCCGGCGACACUUUCGAAUUGACGGGGAUACCCUAAAGCCUGUCGCACCAACUCUGUGCGGGAAACCGCUGGAGGGCCCGUGCUAACUACACGGGAUGGUAACAGACGACAUGGAUACCUCCACGCCUUUGGUGUGGAUACCAUGGGCAAUCCGCAGCGAAGCCUCUAAGUCCGGCCGCCGGAUAUGAGGAACGUUCACAGACUAAGUGGAAGUGGGUGGAGCGUUCGUCGCUCUGCUUAAGAUAUAGUCGGGCCCCUUGGGAAACUGAGGGGGUGAGUACACUGCUUGAAAUUUAAACUUGAACGUGUCUCGGACAGCGCUCAUGUUAGAAUUUCGAGACUGUCGACUGCCUCGCGGUUCGACAGCUCCUAAAACGUUCCGUAGGUGAACCUGCGGAAGGAUCAUUAC